rnacentral:rRNA from 1 species
AAUAUUGCGCAAUGGAGGGAACUCUGACGCAGCGACGCCGCGUGAGCGAUGAAGGUCUUCGGAUCGUAAAGCUCUGCCCUUGGGGAAGAAGGUCUUCGGACUUGACGGUACCGAAGGCGAAAGCCACGGCUAACUACGCGCCCACAGCCGCGGUAAUACGUAGGUGGCAAGCGUUAUCCGGAAUUAUUGGGGGUAAAGCGCGCGCAGGCGGUUUCUUAAGUCUGAUGUGAAAGCCCACGGCUCAACCGUGGAGGGUCAUUGGAAACUGGGAAGCUUGAGUGCAGAAGAGGAGAGUGGAAUUCCAUGUAUAGCGGUGGAAUGCGUAGAGAUAUGGAGGAACACCAGUGGCGAAGGCGACUCUCUGGUCUGCAACUGACGCUGAGGCGCGAAAGCGUGGGGAGCGAACA